AUUGAACGCUGGCGGCAGGCCUAACACAUGCAAGUCGAACGAGUGGCGGACGGGUGAGUAAUGUCUGGGAAACUGCCCGAUGGAGGGGGAUAACUACUGGAAACGGUAGCUAAUACCGCAUACCAUCGAAUGUGCCCAGAUGGGAUUGGCUAGUAGGUUGGGUAACGUCUCACCUAGGAGACGGUCCCUAGCUGGUCUGAGCGGAUGACCAGCCACACUUGAACUGAGACACGGCCCAGACUCCUACGGGAGGCAGCAGUGGGGAAUAUUGCACAAGGGGCGCGAGCCUAAUGCAGCCAUGCCGCGUGUAUUAAGAAGGCCUUCGGUUUGUAAAGUAAUUUCAGCGGGGAGGCGUUACCCGCAGAAGAAGCACCGGCUAACUCCGUGCCAGCAGCCGCGGUAAUUC
rnacentral:rRNA from 1 species